AUGGUAUCAAGGUUUGGCCUUUUGAAGAAACAUAUGUCAAAACUUGCCACCAUGCCAAUCUCCAGUACUUACUUCCCAUGCCAAUCUCAAGUUUUGGUUUCUCUUGGUACCCAACCAAUUAGCCUUCGUACAUUCUCGUCAAAGGGCACAACCUGCAUGUUUUCUCCGUCUGAUAGACCAACUAUUAUCUACAGUUGCAAUAAGAAGCUGUUGUACAACAAUGUCAAUUGGAAAGAAGUUAAUCACAUGUGUCCUUUUAAUACAGCUGCUAUUCCUGACAGGUCUCUCUCUCUCUCUCUCUCUCUGGAAUGA
rnacentral:rRNA from 1 species